rnacentral:rRNA from 1 species
UAAUACGAGGGGUGCAAGCGUUAUUCGGAAUAACUGGGCGUAAAGGGUGCGUAGACGGUACAUUAAGCUCGUUGUUAAAUUCCCUGGCCUAACUGGGGGUAAGCAGUGAGAACUGAUGUGCUAGAGGGUGAGAGAGAGAAGUGGAAUUUCCGGAGUAGCGGUAAAAUGCGUAGAUCUCGGAAGGAACACCAAUGGCGAAGGCAGCUUCUUGGCUCAUACCUGACGUUGAGGCACGAAAGCGUGGGGAGCAAACAGGAUUAGAUACCCUGGUAGUCCACGCUGUAAACGAUAAUCACUAGAUGUUAGUUCGGCUUAGCCGGAUUGGUAUCAAAGCUAACGCGUUAAGUGAUUCGCCUGGGAACUACGAUCGCAAGAUUA